GGUUAAGCGACUAAGCGUAC
rnacentral:rRNA from 3 species